rnacentral:rRNA from 1 species
AUGCCGGGCGCCGACCUCCGGCUGGCCUCCCUCCUCGGCCUCGCCCCCUCCGUCCGCCGCACCAUGCUCUACCUCAACGGCUGCAACAUCGGCUCCACCGUGCUCCGCGUCGCCAAGGACAUCGCCGAGAACAACCGCGGCGCCCGCGUCCUCGUGGUCUGCGCCGAGCUCACUCUCAUCCUUCUCCGCGCCCCUGAGGACGAGGCCGACAAGGCCACGCUCAUCAUGCAGGCUCUGUUCGGUUACGGCGCGGGCGCCGUGAUCGUCGGCGCCGACGCGAACCGUGGCUCCGCCGAGCGCCCGCUCUUCGAGAUGGUGGCCGCGUCGCAGACCGUGAUACCGGGGUCUGAGCGCGCCGCGGCCGGACGGCUCAGCGAAGACGGGCUCCUCUUCCGCCCCGCCGUCGAGAUGACAACGCCGAUUCGCGAGAACGUCGAGCAGUGCCUGGUAGACGCGCUGCGAUCGCUCGGCCUGAGCGGUGGCUGGAACCGUCUCUUCUGGGCGGUGCAUCCAGGGGGCCGAGCAAUCUUGGACGGCGUGGAGGCGGUGCUCCGGCUGGACACGGAGAAGCUGGCGGCGAGCCGCCAUGUAUUGAGCGAGUACGGGAACAUGUCCGGGCCGACAGUGAUCUUUGUGCUCGACGAAAUACGGCGACGCCACGGAGAGCAUGGGGUUGGACGUGACGGCCUGGGUGUGCUACUGGGGCUCGGACCGGGAAUUUCCGUUGAGACCAUAGUGCUGCACGCCACUGGUAAUUACUAG